rnacentral:rRNA from 1 species
GACGAACGCUGGCGGCGUGCCUAAUACAUGCAAGUAGAACGCUGAAGGAGGAGCUUGCUUCUCUGGAUGAGUUGCGAACGGGUGAGUAACGCGUAGGUAACCUGCCUGGUAGCGGGGGAUAACUAUUGGAAACGAUAGCUAAUACCGCAUAAUAGUAGAUGUUGCAUGACAUUUGCUUAAAAGGUGCAAUUGCAUCACUACCAGAUGGACCUGCGUUGUAUUAGCUAGUUGGUGGGGUAACGGCUCACCAGGGCGACGAUACAUAGCCGACCUGAGAGGGUGAUCGGCCACACUGGGACUGAGACACGGCCCAGACUCCUACGGGAGGCAGCAGUAGGGAAUCUUCGGCAAUGGACGGAAGUCUGACCGAGCAACGCCGCGUGAGUGAAGAAGGUUUUCGGAUCGUAAAGCUCUGUUGUAAGAGAAGAACGAGUGUGAGAGUGGAAAGUUCACACUGUGACGGUAUCUUACCAGAAAGGGACGGCUAACUACGUGC